AUUAAUAAAUUUAUUUAAUAGAUUUUUGAAUAAAAUAAUUUUAUGUUUUAUUAUAAAAAUAGAAAAAAUUUAUUUUAUUAUAGUUAAAAGUAUAGUAAUAGAAAAUUUAAAUAAAUUGAAAAUUUAAAUUUAAUUAAGAAUAAUUAAUUUUUAGUACCUUGUGUAUCAGGGUUUAUCAAAAUUAUUUAAUAAAAUUAAAUUUCCCGAUUUUAAAAGAGCUAAAAAUUUAUUUUUUUUAAUGUUUAAAAAUUAUUAUAAAUAAAUUUUUUGUAAUGAAAUGUUAUUCGUUUUUAAAUAUAUCUGGUUUUUUAAGAAAUAAAUUUAAUUUAUUUAUUAAUAAAAAUUAAUUUUUUUUAAAAAUUUGAUUUUAUUAAUAAUUAAUAUUUUAAGGGAUAAUCUUUAAAAUAUAUUUAUAUAAUGAUUUAUUUUAAUAAAAAUAAAAGUAGAAUUAAAAAUUUUAAUCUUUAAUAAUUUGUUAUAAUUAAUUUUUUUUUAUUAUUAUUUAUAUAUUAUUUAUAUUUUUUAUUAAAAUUAUUUAUUUAAUUUUUAAAUAAAUUUAAUAAUGAUAAAAUUAGUAUAAUUUAUUGUAAAAAUAUUUUAUUUUUAUAAGGUUAAGUUAAGGAAUUCGGCAAAAUAAUUUUUCGCCUGUUUAUUAAAAACAUGUCUUUUUGAUAAUAAUAUAAAGUCUAACCUGCCCAAUGAAAAUUUAAUGGCUGCGGUAUUUUGACCGUACAAAGGUAGCAUAAUCAUUAGUUUUUUAAUUGAAAGCUAGAAUGAAUGGUUGAACGAAAAAAUUACUGUCUCAAUUUAAUUUAAUUAGAAUUUUAUUUUUAAGUUAAAAAGCUUAAAUAAAUUUAAAAGACGAGAAGACCCUAUAGAGUUUAAUAUUAUUUAAAUUUUGUUUUUUAUAAAUAAAAAAAUUUAAAUAAUAUUUAAUUGGGGUGAUUAAUAAAUUUAAUAAACUUUAUUUUUUUUUUACAUUAAUAUAUGACUUUUUGAUCCAUUAUUUAUGAUUAAAAGAUUAAAUUACCUUAGGGAUAACAGCGUUAUCUUUUUAGAGAGUUCAAAUCGAAAAAAAGGAUUGCGACCUCGAUGUUGGAUUAAAAUUAAUUUUUGGUGUAGAAGCUAAAUAUAUUGAGUCUGUUCGACUUUUAAAAUUUUACAUGAUCUGAGUUUAAACCGGUGUGAGCCAGGUUGGUUUCUAUCUUUAAAUAAUAAUAAUAUUUUAGUACGAAAGGACCAAAUAUUUAUAAUAGUUAUUUAAUUAAUGAAUUUUAUU
rnacentral:rRNA from 1 species